rnacentral:rRNA from 1 species
GAUGAACGCUAGCGGCAGGCCUAAUACAUGCAAGUCGGACGGGAUUGUGGAGCUUGCUUCACACGAGAGUGGCGCACGGGUGCGUAACACGUAUGUAACCUACCCUUGUCAGGGGGAUAGCCUCUCGAAAGAGAGAUUAAGACCGCAUAACAUUGUUUUGUGGCAUCACAGAACAAUCAAAUAUUUAUAGGACAAGGAUGGGCAUGCGGAACAUUAGCUAGUUGGUAAGGUAACGGCUUACCAAGGCUACGAUGUUUAGGGGAUCUGAGAGGAUGGCCCCCCACACUGGUACUGAGACACGGACCAGACUCCUACGGGAGGCAGCAGUAAGGAAUAUUGGUCAAUGGGCGGAAGCCUGAACCAGCCAUGCCGCGUGCAGGAAGACGGCCCUACGGGUUGUAAACUGCUUUUACAGGGGAAUAAACCUCGGUACGUGUACCGAGCUGAAUGUACUCUGAGAAUAAGGAUCGGCUAACUCCGUGCCAGCCGCCGCGGUAA